rnacentral:lncRNA from 1 species
GACAAAAUAAAACAAUUUUAAUAUAUUUUUAAAAUCAUUAUUAAAAUACAUUUGUUUAAACUCAAUACUAUACAUGUACUAUAAUCUAUAUCUGUAUGUAUCAUGUAUUAUCAUAUUUACAAUUCCAGACUACAUAAAUUAAAUGGAAUGAAAUUAUAUGUAAGUUAUAUACAACAACAUAUUCGACGGAAGCAAUGGGUGUAAAAGAUUAGUAUGCCUAUAAAGUUUGGUCACAUACACUACAAAUACAACCCCAUCCCUAAACAAAUACUCCGUCACUCAUGCAUCAAAUCAACGUACACUCCAAGAACACUCUGGUUAAAAUUUCCUGAUUAAUCUAGAAAUAACACUAUUUGGAUUAACUUAAUAUUCCUGGUUAGAUUUCCCGGAUAUUUUAUCUCACUUCUUGGGAAUCUGGUUAUGUUUGAUCCGAACGUCCUUGUUAAAAUAAUAGAGAGUUUAAGUUAAGUUCGACUUCCGAUACCAAUACCGAUGUCACUGAUGUCUUCACUUCCGUUCUCUCAUUUUGGUACCGGGAAUUUUAAAGCGUUAAGUCAUCACGACAGAUAAAGUAUAGAACACAUCAAUCGUCACCGAAAAUGUGCAGUAUACUAAACGGCAGCUGAGCUAAAAUUCCGACUAAAACAUUACUCAGGCGAUGCUAGUCAACAAAUAGUUUACGUGUUUAUCGUAAAAAUUAUGAAAUAUCCGAUUUAUAUGAGUUUAUAUCUUACAAUUCCCACGACUUCCAAAACAAGGUCAACUUCGGUAGUGGUGACUUCCAAUACACUUGUCCUUGUGCUUCUUGCGAGCAGAGCGCAUGCGCACGACCUGUUGUUAGUAUCGGUAUUGGAAGUUGAUCGCGAACUUAAACUCUCUAAUCACUAUGCUAGGUAGAUAUACAACCAAUUAAAGUCCCUGAUUAAUUACCCACAUCACAUAGUCUGGUUAAUUUAGCUAGGACAUCCUGGUCAAAUUAAUCAGACUAUAUAGCAGGAAAAAGGUUAAAAUAACCAGGAAAUUUAACCAGGAAUAAUUAAAUUGGUUAACAUUUUAAUCAGAGUGUUUUUAGAGUGUAUAAUUACAUAUUUUCUAUUAACAAAUUAAACUUAAAUCGUCGUGAUAAGUAUAUUUACAAAUUAUUUCAAUUUAUAUCGUGAUAAAAUUGAGUAACAUACAAUAACGUUCAAUAAGUUAGUGUAUAGUAUAAGUUUUCUCAGCUUUGUUACAAAUUGUUGCGAGCGUUCUGGUUAAAGCUUGCUCGUAAAGCUAUAGCCACAGGACGCCAAGGCUCUCUAGUUUAUAUAUAUAGCUCAAUUGGCACAAGUGCAAGUGAUCGAAGUGCUAGAGAGUCUUUAGCCUGUGGCCAAGAUCACAAAGAUUGUUUUUACUGACUGCUGAUUAUUGCAUUUAUAAUAUAUUUAACACUCUAGUCAUAGACCCUUUUAAUAACGAUGACCUCAUAACUACAGCUAUUAGAAUUAAAGUACGUUGGGGGUAAUAACUGGGAAAACAGAUACAAUAUAGUGUUUUAAAUAAGUAAAAAUAUGGAAAUUUUGGGCUUCAACCGUGAACCUCAACCAGAUGAACUUUUAGUUUAUGCUUAUAUAGAAUUUCUUAUAAAAACAAAUAUCUGCACUGAAAGCACAAGCAACACGUAAAGAAAUGAUUUAGUAUUGAGCAUGCAUGCCAAGUUUGAUCAGGAAUGAAUAACAUUUGGCAUCAGCAAGGAAAGUAAUUGUCCUCCAAAUUGGGGGUUUGCUCAUCCUAAAUGUUGUUCGUUCCUGAUGAAACUUGCUUUAAAUGUUUUAUCUGCUUUCAAUACAAUUUUUUUUGCUUUUUAAGAAGAUAUUGGGCAUGAAUAAAAAGCUCCAAGACCAGCCGCGUAAAUGCUGUUUAUUUUUCUUCAAACCAGUAUGAUGUCUUGGUGUUGAAAAUCAAAAUUUAAAGUGGAAGUCAAGUCCGUUCUGCGCAUCGGUCCUGCUCAUAACAAUGUGAGGACACUCUAAUGUAAACAUUGCCUAAAUUUCGAAUGUUUCGAAUUUUCUGAACAUAAACUCUAUUUCAUAUUCAUUUACAAGUAUAGCGAACCAAAAUGGUGUUAGGCCUAAAUAUUCAGACAGUACAUCGUAUUUUAAAAAUACAGCAGUUCAAAAUGUAAACAAACCGUUUGUUUACAUUACGGACUUGACUUCCACUUUAAAUAUUCUAUAUUUCUCAUAAAACACCAUUCUGUUUUUCAAUUGCAUUCUGUUUUUCAAGGUUAUUACUAAAUCAGUGCUUUAAUCGAGUGGCAGCUGUAGUUAUGUGACGCACCAUGAAAGGGGUCUAUAUAUAGCCUAUGUACAAAACGAUUUUAAUCAUCUGGGUGUAUUAAACAUUUAAUUAGUAUUUAAAACAAUUUAAAAUUUGUGAUGUACUAUUUAAAACACAAGUAGGAGUGUUUUAUCAGAUAUAAAACGCGAGGUGCAGCCGAGAGUUUUAUAUCUGAUAAAACACGACAACGAGUGUUUUGAAUAGCUUAAAAUACGACCACAAAAGAUGCCGUUCAUUAGUAUUCCUUACAUAAGAAUACUAUAAUUAGGAUGCCACAUGUGUUUACAUUUAGUGAAUUUUUCUGAUCACACUUUCAUAUGAAAUUUAUCUACUUUCAUAUGGAUUUUGAUCUCACUUUUUUUUCUUUUUGUGCAUGAUCUUUUAAUUUAUAUGAACUUUUCUGAUCACACUCUUUAUUAUCUUAUCAAACUGUAUAGAUGUACAUCGAAUUAAUAAUAAAGAUAUGCAUG